rnacentral:tRNA from 1 species
GCGGUCGUGGCGGAAUUGGUAGACGCGCUACUUUGAGGGGGUAGUAUCCGUACGGAUGUGUGGGUUCAAAUCCCACCGACCGCACCA